AGCCGCUUGCCGCGGGCAGCGCGACCCCUGCCGGCGGCGGCGGCGAC
rnacentral:precursor_RNA from 1 species